GACGAACGCUGGCGGCGUGCUUAACACAUGCAAGUCGAACGCAAAGGCCCUGCUUUUGUGGGGUGCUCGAGUGGCGAACGGGUGAGUAACACGUGAGUAACCUACCCUUGACUUUGGGAUAACUUCAGGAAACUGGGGCUAAUACCGGAUAGGAGCUCCUGCUGCAUGGUGGGGGUUGGAAAGUUUCGGCGGUUGGGGAUGGACUCGCGGCUUAUCAGCUUGUUGGUGGGGUAGUGGCUUACCAAGGCUUUGACGGGUAGCCGGCCUGAGAGGGUGACCGGCCACAUUGGGACUGAGAUACGGCCCAGACUCCUACGGGAGGCAGCAGUGGGGAAUAUUGCACAAUGGGCGGAAGCCUGAUGCAGCAACGCCGCGUGCGGGAUGACGGCCUUCGGGUUGUAAACCGCUUUCGCCUGUGACGAAGCGUGAGUGACGGUAAUGGGUAAAGAAGCACCGGCUAACUACGUG
rnacentral:rRNA from 1 species